UACGUAGGUGGCAAGCGUUGUCCGGAUUUACUGGGCGUAAAGAGCGCGCAGGCGGCUGGUCAAGUCCGAUGUGAAAUCUCCCGGCUUAACUGGGAAACUGCAUCGGAAACUGAUCGGCUUGAAGGUGGGAGAGGGUAGUGGAAUUCCCGGUGUAGUGGUGAAAUGCGUAGAGAUCGGGAAGAACAUCGGUGGCGAAAGCGCUCUGCUGGACUGCAACUGACACUCAGGGACGAAAGGCGUGGGGAGCAAACAGG
rnacentral:rRNA from 1 species